CCAGUGCGAUUUCGUCACGUACUGAGUGAGCCUCAGAGUAAAUCAUAAAAUUGGGGAGUGACUCUCCCGACCUUAAAAGAAUUGAAAGCCAAGAAGUUAGAUUGAUAGCUCAUUUCGAGAUGAUGGGUUGGUGAGUAGCGGUAGAUCAGUUGCCGAGCUGGUC
rnacentral:sRNA from 21 species